CACGUAGGGACCAAGCGUUGUCCGGAUUCAUUGGGCGUAAAGGGCUCGUAGGCGGCCAACUAAGUCAGACGUGAAAUCCCUCAGCUUAACUGGGGAACUGCGUCUGAUACUGGAUGGCUUGGAUUCGGGAGAGGAAUGCGGAAUUCCGAGGUGUAGCGGUGAAAUGCGUAGAUAUCUGGAGGAACACCGGUGGCGAAGGCGGCAUUCUGGACCGACAGUUGACGCUGACGAGCGAAAGCCAGGGGAGCAAGCGGG
rnacentral:rRNA from 1 species